GGGCAGGUACCCAGCGCCUCCCCUGGACCAGCCAGUAGGAUGGCCCGCGCGGGGUUAAUAGAAGUUGGCGGGGUUGGGGGGCAAGAUGCUUCUCAACCUUCAGUUCGGUUCGUCUGUCCUUGUCGAAAACCCUAGAAGGAGUCCUCGGGGAACGCCGAAGGGAAACCGCUGUAGGAAACUGAUGUGCAGAGGGUUCAAAGCCUCCAGUCAGUCUGAAUAUGAGGCCCAUGUUCUUAAGUGGAAUGACCCUCUGCAAAGACAGCUCUCUGAGACAAGUGGUGUUACGGCGGCUUGUACAAAGCAUUCUGCAGGCAAACAGGCAGGAGAGGACAAACAGCGUGGAGAAAGAAGGUGUGGUCAAGGCAGGUGCCACAUUCACGUAACCUUUGAGCUGGGCAUGGAUGAUGGAUGAGACUUAAGUACAAAAGAAGAGGACAGUUGGCUGGGCUGAAAGAAUUGCAUGUGAAGACAGAGGGACUUGAAAGAAAAUGGUGUGUGGUUGCAACCUGCUGUGUUGAGUGGAGCCUGAGAUCUCAGGGAGAGGACAGGAGGUGAGGCAGGAGCAUAGGGAGGGCAUCUUCUCAGGAGAUGAGUUUCCUCCCAGAGGAGGUAUGGGGGUCACUGAAAAUGGUUAAGCAGAGGGGUGCGCUGAUCAGUCCAGUGCUGUGAACAGUUCUGCUGCAGCUUCGCCGAUAGACUGGAAGGGAGGCGACUGAACACGGGACCACCUGUUAAGACACCACUGGACACAGCGGGCACAUGAGAGUCAAUCUUGUAGGCUCAAGACAGGAACCAGAGACUUCCCUGGUGGUCCAGUGGCCAAGACUCCAAGCUCCCAAUGUGGGGGCCCGGGUUGGAUCCCUNNNNNNNNNNNNNNNNNNNNNNNNNNNNNNNNNAAGAUCCCACAUGCUGCAACUAAGACCCAGCACAGCCAAAUAAAUAAAUAGUGUUUUUUUUAAAACCCCCCCCAAAAAAAACAGGAACCAUAAAUAUUCUAGAAUUUGGGAGAAUGGAAGAGGCACUUUCUUACUAAUGAGGAAAAUGAAGCAGAGCUAGCAAGAGAUUCCAAGACAUAUCCAUUCAUCAUGUAAAUAUUUAUGAUAUGCUUACUGUGUUCCAGCAACAGUGAUAAAGGCUUGUGAUAUAAUGGUAAUGAGAACAACAACAAAAAACUGACUUAUUCCCUGUCCUCACAGAGCUUUGUACAGUCUGUCUGGCAGAGGAAGCAGACAUUAAUCAGAUAAUCACAUAAACAAAUAUAAACUGUCAACAGUCUCAAGUGCUGGAGCAGUGCUUAGAGGACAUGACCUAGUCUAGGAAUGCUUUUCUGAGCACCGAAGAAUUGAUGCUUUUGAACUAUGGUGUUGGAGAAGACU
rnacentral:lncRNA from 1 species